rnacentral:rRNA from 1 species
GACGAACGCUGGCGGCGUGCCUAAUACAUGCAAGUUGAGCGCUGAAGGUUGGUACUUGUACCAACUGGAUGAGCAGCGAACGGGUGAGUAACGCGUGGGGAAUCUGCCUUUGAGCGGGGGACAACAUUUGGAAACGAAUGCUAAUACCGCAUAAAAACUUUAAACACAAGUUUUAAGUUUGAAAGAUGCAAUUGCAUCACUCAAAGAUGAUCCCGCGUUGUAUUAGCUAGUUGGUGAGGUAAAGGCUCACCAAGGCGAUGAUACAUAGCCGACCUGAGAGGGUGAUCGGCCACAUUGGGACUGAGACACGGCCCAAACUCCUACGGGAGGCAGCAGUAGGGAAUCUUCGGCAAUGGACGAAAGUCUGACCGAGCAACGCCGCGUGAGUGAAGAAGGUUUUCGGAUCGUAAAACUCUGUUGGUAGAGAAGAACGUUGGUGAGAGUGGAAAGCUCAUCAGGUGACGGUAACUACCCAGAAAGGGACGGCUAACUACGUG